ensembl:lncRNA
ACCAGCGAGGGGAAGAGCAGCUUUACGGCUGUGCGGGCUGAGGGAGAUCGGGGGUGUGAGCGGCGCACAAAUCCGCUUCGCUAUGAAAUGGGUAAGAAAAUGAGAAGCGGAGCUGCCGGAGGUCUGUUUGCCCACCUGAAAGGAAGGUGUGAGGUGCUGCGUGUGAUCAGCAGAGCGGCUUUGUGCCCUGAGCUCCCUGCAGAGGAAUCCUCGGCGUGGCAGAGGUGCCGUUCUCAAGCGCAGGACUCGUUUUUCAUCAGUGCUGCUCGCAGCCCGCUCCGAGCCGCUAAUGCAUGCGGUGCAUUGGCAGCUGCGGAGGUGCCGGGGGAUUUGUUACGAUAUUCAUCACCUUUGAUGCGCUCAUCUACAACCAGCUCAUCCCGCUUUGUACUUCAUCCAGAGAGGAUACGGGCUAGCUCCAGCUCUCCUUCACGCUGCACCCACUCACCCUCUUCGCUUUUGGGGUCUGCUUUCCUACCAUUGACACCGGUUUAGGUGGCAGCUGACACACAGAGCAUGUUUUAAAUCCCUGGCCGUGGAUUUUCCUGUGAAUGGGGGUGAUAUGGAAAGAAUACAGGAGCCAGACUCCUGUAAUUUGGAUCAUGGAUCUGUGAACACAGUUCACGUUGCUGACUCUUUCCUUUUAAUAGCCUUUGGUAGUUCACAAUUCAUGCAGCAUGGAAAGGUGCGUUUGAAAAUGUGCUUGUGGCAAAACAGAGUUACAAAAUCUCCAGAAUGACUAAGAUGUGUCUUUGGAGAAAACGCCUGGUGUCAGUCUGGGAGAGGACAAUUCAUUCUGAAUUGGCUGGACUGAAUGACAUCCAUUCAUUUUGGCUGGUCCAGUGGCAGGGUGACCUUUGUAUGAAUAAAUAGAGUAAUUCCUCUUUGAUUACAGAAAGAACCAGCCUCAUAAUGGUAGCUCCCUAUAUUCUGCCAUCAGCUGAAGUAGUGGAGAGAACACAUGCUGGUCUGUCAUUCUGCUGGCAUGUGGAAAAGCCUGAAUAUUUGAAAUUAUUGGAUAUAUCCCCAUGUUAGGAGUCAGAGCAAAGAGAAUGACUGCAGAACGGUGUGAAGCAUCCUUCUCUUUGCUUUCCUUUAAAAAUCAGGAGGCUUUUAACUUUUUUGGAUUUGGUGGAACCACAAUUAAAAGAGAAAAGGAAAAUAUCACCCUCUGUUUGUUAACUAUAAAAAUGCAAUCCAGCAGUGCUUCUGGUGCUUUGCUGUUUCCCAGGUCAAUAAAUGGCUCCCCUGACUUUAAUAAACAUUGAUGCUGCAGGCUUGUUCUACAGUGAUUGAACAUUUUUAUAGUUUCAACCCCUCGCAUUGCAUGAAAGCUUUAAGAUUUUCUUUCUUUUUUUUUCACCCCUCUUUUUCAGAAGGGUUGGUUCUGAUUGAUUAAAUUGUCAUUUUCAGAGUUAGUUGCUGAAUUAUAACUUGGCAUUUUUAACCAUGCGAUUUGUUUAAAGAGACAGCAUUUUGAUACAGCAAAGCAGCUGAGAAUUUUUAAGCAGUAAAAGGAAAUUUUGUUCACUUUGUUCUCAGCCUUUCAUCGCUGCCUGACAAAAAUGCUCCUGAAAACAACAUGAAGGCUAUGAUAUGAAGAGAAGGUGCUUAGAUCCAUGCUCACUUCUUUAUUCCAUCACGGAGCUGAUCUGUGCAGAACUAUAUUGCUUUCGAUUAGUAGUUGGAUACCUCAUUGUUGUUCACACGUUUAUCUUUCCCAGGAGGAAUGAGGGGAGGGAGGGGGAAUUAGAAACAUAAAAUGAGUGCCACCCAAUGUGAUAUUAAGAAUAAGUGACAGCACUAUACUUUGGACCAGCCCCUUAAUACACAUGAUGGAUUUCUUUGCACCAAAAUGAUGGGUUCUGAGUCAAAAAAUCUGCAGGGGUUUCACCUAAAUCCAGACUGAGCCUGGUUCAAAGGGACAAAGACCUUGUAAUUCUUUAGAAACUGAAAAAAAAAUCAUAAUGCAUUCUUUUUUUUUUUUUAACCAGCUGUCUCCUUCCUUCUCUGUGGAUAACUGCUGGGUUUCAAGGUCUGCUUUUUUUUUACUUUCCUUCACUCCCCCCAAUUUAAAUCUGUAUUCAUGACAGUAAAGCUGAAGUAAAUGAGACUUACAUAAAAAACACCUGUGUUCAGAUUGUGUUUGAAAAGAAAGGCCAACAAAACUGUCCUCUAGAACAUAACAGGAUAUUUUUUGCUUUUGAUUUACAGUGCCUGCAGGGGAAACAGGAUAAUCUAAUGGCCUGAAUAUGGGAGAUCUUACACUGCAGUGUUACCCUGGUCAGACUCUGAAACAGAGCUUAGCAGUGGAAAUCUCUGGGUAUCAAUAUGAAAUACUGAAGUCCAAUUAUACUUCAGCUUGUAUACUUUCCCCUUUCUGGCCAUUUCAGCUUCUGCUCUGAAAUAAUAACUAACAGCAGUGCAAAGCUGAAUUUCAGCAGUGAAUUAUGUCCCUGGCCUCUAAAUUUAAUUGCAUGGUACUGCAACUAACCCACUAUCCAUCUUGGUCCCUGGAAUUCUUUCUGCCUCUUUUCUUCUGCUUCUAUACCAUUCAUUCGAGACCUUUUUGAAAACACAAAAUAGGUGCCCAGAAAGAAGGUGAAUUGUGAAGGGGACGUUUUAACUUUGUACCUGCCACCAAUUCUUGACAAUCUUUAACUAAAAAGGGAGGUAGGGUUCAGCAGCAGUGGGGUCAGGAUGAGGUCCUGCAGGCUCUGGAUAUUUUCCUGCAGUGCUGGGCACCUGGGGUCAGGAGGACAAUUUACAAGCACCAGUUUGGAUUCGAUCCAGCCAGCCAGGUGCUGUACAGGGUGUUCUUUUCCCACCAUGUAGUGGCUGGAAAUGAAGCUGGGGCAGAUGUCAGAUCAGGGCUGUGAUUCAGCACAGCAAACCUGGUGUUCCUGAUCAGCUGAAGGUUUCACAGCAAGAUGUUGGUGCCUGAGCAAACCAUUUACAGCAAAAGCAAAAAAAGAUAUUCUGUGGUUAUCAUAAAUACAAUAUGAUUAUGUUUUUAGGACAGUUACUCAUGUUUGUUUCAAAAUCACAUUAAGGCCAUUUUAUAGGUUGGGGAAAUAGGCUGUAACAUGAAAAAGAGUAAAAUAUUCAUUAAUGCCGUAAUGAUUUAUAUCAAAACAUUAUGGGGUAGCACAUUUUGCCUCGGACCAGUUCCUCAAUGAAUGUUUUUCUAAUUUCCAUAAGUAAUUGACCUCUCAUUAGCCACUCAUUAGAAAAAUUGAGGUGAUGUGACAAAAGCAAACCCACUACGACAGAAACUCUGCAUAUGCAUAAAUCAUUGAAAACUCAAAUGGGUUCAAAAUGAAGGACCACAAGAACCUUGCUUUCUCUAACUGAAAAAGGAUUUGAAGUGAAACACUUUUCUCUGAAUAUAUAGAUAUGUUUAAAUCCAUACUUUGGCUCAUGGCUGAUUUUCAAACACUGAACAUUCACUUCUUCUCUUUGCAUGUGACUUCAUAGGAAAAAGAAUUAGCCAAAUAAUUCAGACACAUGUAAGUGUAAGUCUAUGUCAGGUCCUGGUACAACUGUAGACAAUGAGGUUGGAAAAAUGAGUGGCCUAAAUGCAAAACUUAAAUAUGGAAGCAAAUAAACAUUGACUGAUGCUUCUCACUGACUCCAUCCCAGAAAUAGAUACCUUCCAGAAAAGGCAUUGUGCUGAAUCCUUGUCUGUGAGCAGUUUUUUCAGAGGGGAGGGGUCUGCCUUGUCCUUCUUAUAGCCACUGUUAACCAACACAGGAAUGUUAGCAAGCCCAAGUAAUAGAUUUUUCACAUAUUGAUGUAUUAACUUAAUAACCUUAUAUAUCUGUCUUUUUAGAGAUCAAUAAAUCAAUUUUGAGCUAGUUCUUCAUCACUGCAAUAUUGUGAAAAGUGAAGCUGAUAUUUAAUGUAGUUUUAUGAGUCCUGGAUGCCACUGGACAAACCCAGAAAAAAAUCCAUUUCUUUUUAAUAUGUCCUUUAAAGUCCUGAUGCCCAUCUGAAACUUAUUUGAAGGUAACUGGAUUUAUGGGUUCCAAGUUAACGUUUCAUUAUGAAGUUACCCGAGUAUGAGAGAGGAAAAAAAAAUCACUGUCUGAAAGUUUUGUACAGCAGAGAAGAGCUGAACUGAUGGACCUCCUCCCCUGACCUUAUGCAGUACUGGCUAAGAAACUGCAGGUUCUAAAAGGUGAAUAAAAGCAGUGGAGUAAUAUUGUAAAAGAAUGGGAAAAGCUACUGACUUAGGCCUGCCCUGGGAAAAAGCCCAAUGAGAACCCCAUUUUUCCUCAUUUGGGAAGUGUAUCUAUUGUCUGGCUACCCUUCUUACAGUUUGUUUUUCUAUUUUUCUUCCUGAAUUCUCUUGCAAUGGACCAUUGCAUAGCACUGCUUUAAUAUCAGUGAAUAUUGCUUUUGUUUUGCCAAAGGAAGCACAGGAGUGAUUAUGAGAAAUUUGCUAUUAAGGAAGAAAAAUGCAUUUUUGAAGGCUCAAUCAGAAAAAUCAGACUGCUUAGCUUUCUAUGAUAUUUAAAAGGA